UACAGAGGUCUCAAGCGUUGUUCGGAUUCAUUGGGCGUAAAGGGUGCGUAGGCGGCGCGGUAAGUCGGGUGUGAAAUCUUGGAGCUUAACUCCGAAACUGCAUUCGAUACUGCCGUGCUUGAGGACUGGAGAGGAGACUGGAAUUUACGGUGUAGCGGUGAAAUGCGUAGAUAUCGUAAGGAAGACCAGUGGCGAAAGCGCGUGACUGGGCCACAACUGACGCUGAGGAACGAAAGCCAGGGGAGCGAAAGGG
rnacentral:rRNA from 1 species